rnacentral:rRNA from 1 species
CAGCCGCCGCGGGAAUACGUAGGUCCCGAGCGUUGUCCGGAUUUAUUGGGCGUAAAGCGAGCGCAGGCGGUUAGAUAAGUCUGAAGUUAAAGGCUGUGGCUUAACCAUAGUACGCUUUGGAAACUGUUUAACUUGAGUGCAGAAGGGGAGAGUGGAAUUCCAUGUGUAGCGGUGAAAUGCGUAGAUAUAUGGAGGAACACCGGUGGCGAAAGCGGCUCUCUGGUCUGUAACUGACGCUGAGGCUCGAGAGCGUGGGGAGCAAACAGGAUUAGAUACCCGGGUAGUCCCUGUCUCUUAUACA